AUAUUUAUAUAGUCAUUGAUAGGGGUAAAUUUUUGAUUAUGGAAAAUUUUAGAUUUUUAGAAGGGUUUCUUAUAAUUGUCUCAAAUUACAACAAGUCAUGCCUUCUCCCCACUUUCUCACACUCAGACAAACACUUCGUUUUAUUUUGAUAGAUAAUCCUUUUAAAAAUUACUUUAAGGAACACACACACUCAUUGAUUGUCAAUACUGCGUAAAAUUAUUUCAUAAAAGCUUCAAAUUUUGAUUUUCCACUUUAUUAAGAACCACACUUAUCAAUCCAACAGGGACAUAAAACAAAUAUAAUCAGGCUUAUAUAAUAUAUUUUAUGAAUCGUACAUAAGGUAUAAAAUCUAAUUAAUAUCGGCCAAUACUUCACUCUGAAUAAGAAAACCAAUUUUAUUCGACUGAAAUUCAAAGUCAUGUUGAUCCAGAUGAAAACCGAGAAAAAUUUUAUACCAUCACCAGUAUUGUUAAAACAGCUGAGAAUGUUUAAAUCCUUCAUCAUGCAGCAAGAAAUAAAAUAAGUAAAGAUUAACCUUCUAUCGUUUACAGUUAAUAUUUCGCAAGACACUCCAUAACUAAAUCAUACUUCAUAUCUUAGUCGCUCCGUAUUUUACAUUCUAACUAACCACCUAAAAUCAUCCUUGUCGCGAAGGAUCAUGAUUUGAAGAUUUUAAAAUAAAGUUAAAAUGUCACGCCUCCUUAAAAAAAUGCAUGUGUUUAAAACGUGAAAUUCGUAUUAAGUUCUGCUGCAUGAGUUUCGUAUAUAAAUCACUCGAUACUAUGACGGAAAUAAAUCAUGACAAGAAUAUCAUUCAAAAUUUUAAUUUCUUUAAAAUUGCUCUCACCACUGGAACUUUUACUUUCUGAUCGUUAGUUUCUUUUAAUAAUUCAAGGAGUUUAUAAUCAUUACCAUGACAAGACAAAUUGUGAAGCCUAAUAUAAAGCCUGCUGCAACAUCAUCCCAAUGAUGCUUGUAAUCUCGAAUUCUUGAAAAGCAGAUGAAAACAGCCAACAUGAGUAAUAGAAGCUGAAUAAAUGGCUUUACCAAAAAACUUGUAGUAAUUUCUAAGCGUUUUUGAAGGUACAGCUAAAAAUAAAGAGAAAUAAACAAAUAUUUACAAAAUGGAA